rnacentral:snRNA from 1 species
AGUUGUGUAAGCGUCCUCAUUGGGCUGUGACAUCUGUCAUCCGUUGCUCAUCAGGAUUGAUUUGGUCAAUCUGGCUACACAAGUACCCCCUUCUUCCAUCACUGUUCCAUAUGUGAAGCUCCCUAAGUGGUGGGGUUGGACGAAGAGGACUGCCUUCCCAGAUAGGGGAGGAUGGGGGUCUUCACUUAAGGAUAUAUGAGUAGUUACACUCCCCUGCUAGAACCUUCAAUCAAGCUCUCAAAAUUCUGAUUAUUACUUAAACAUACACGUUAGGGGGGCAAUUUAUACCACUCUUAUAAGGACAGUGGGAGAGAGAGAAUUUAUGCUACCAC